CGCGGGGUGGAGCAGCUCGGUAGCUCGUCGGGCUCAUAACCCGAAGGUCGUUGGUUCAAAUCCGGCCCCCGCAACCA
rnacentral:tRNA from 1 species